rnacentral:lncRNA from 1 species
UGGCUUUACUAAGAACACUGUUCAGGGACCUGACAUUCAUUCCUAAAUCUACAGUCACUGGCCAGAAACGACUAUUUUUCUCCUAGAAGAAGUUUUCCUGGAUUCAUCACAGUCGGAAUCAAGGAGAAAUUUUAGACCAUGAGAUGGAAGCCAGAAUGAUGUGGAUCCUACUCCAAAACUUGGCUUGUACAGCAGCCAAUUUUUUUUCCAAAUGGAACUCAACCAGCACUGUGGCAUGUAGUUUUUCAGAAGCUGUAGUGAACUCUGCAGAAAACUCACCAACUUGCAGAUACAGAAGAGAACAAUAUCCUAAAUCAGCAUCACAAAGGGAAAACUAAGGCACCUUUGACUGAAGCUGUUUUGAGUCCCCAAUAAAAACAAAGAAAUAUAUGGGAAAGAAAAUAAA